CAAGGUAUUUUUCAUGCACCAUAUGUAGUGUUAUUGUGUAAAACUGUACUGUAUGCUUGAAAUAAUACUAUCUUGUUUGUAGAGCCCUGAUGAUGUCAAAGGGUAUUUCGGUUUCAAACUGGGUGUGCGAAACCUUGCCUCACCCACUUCAGAGGGAUGCCAUAUCAUGUGGUGUGUUUGCUUUGAAGUUUGCAGAACACAUUCUGCAAAAUACCACUAUAAACUUCUCCAGUGAUCUGCAAUAUUUAACACAAUGCAGAAUGGAGAUUCCUUUAACUCUGCUCCGGCAAUCUGAUGACCUAAGUGACCUGUGCCAUUUUUGCGGAGAGGCAGAAACUUUUGACGACUCUGAAGGAGAGGCAGAAACAUUGACUGCAUGGGUAAAU